UCUCAAACUCCUGGACUCAAGCAAGCCUCCUACCUCGGCCUCCUGAAGUGUUGGGAUUACAGGCAUGAGCCACGGUGCACAGCAAGAGCUUUAACCUUAAUGACCAUUCAUUCUCUACCCCACAUUACCUACAACUGAUACAGAUUGGGUUUUUCUGGUACCUCUACCUGGAAGGAGAUGAGAGGGCAGAUCUUUCAACAUAAUAAUUCCCCAAAGAUCUACAAGAACCUAUUCAUAUUAUUAAGAUAUUGCCUGCUCCUGCAGAGGGCUGCUGCCAUGUCAUGAGCACUCUCAAGCAGCUCUAGCGAGGGGUCAUGUCAUGAGGAACUGAGACCUUCUGCCAAUAGCUGUGUGAAUGAGCCAUCAUGGAGGCAGGUCCUCCAGCCCCAGUCAAGCCUUCAGAUGAUGGCAGCCCCAGCUGAUGAUUUGACUGCAAACUCUCAUGCAACCAGGAAUAAGAACCACUCAGCAGAACCACUCCCAAUUUCCUGACCCACAGAAACUGUGAGAUAAAUAAAUAUUGCUUUAAGCUGCUGUGCUUAGG
rnacentral:lncRNA from 1 species